CGGAAGUAGGGCGUAAAUUGGUGGACAAUAGGAUGACAGAUUGAAGUGACGAGAGAAGAA
ensembl:ncRNA Y38H6A.8 ncRNA